CCAAAUCAAACAUUUAUAAUAUAUAAUAUUAUAAAUAUGUGGUGUGAACGUGAGUAAAAAAUAGAUAUAUAAGAACUAUAAAUAAAGUUAAAUGCUUUAUAAUAUAUAUAUAUAUAAAUUAUAUAUAUAUAUAAAAGAAUAUAUUAUUAUAUAUAUUUGUUUAUAGUCUAAUCUAUAAUGGUUUAGAUAGUAGGUAUAUUAAUAGUUAUACCUAGUCUACGAUCCAUAAUCAAUAAUUAAUGUUAUAAUGAUCACGUUGAUAAUUAAAUAUAAUCAAUAUCUAUAUGAUACAGCAGUGGGGAAUAUUGAACAAUGAUCGUAAGAUUGAUUCAGUAACUUAUAAGAAUGAAUGAGAUAUAAUAAUAAUAUAAAUAUAUAAAUAAAUAUAUUUUAUAUAUAUAUAUAUAUAUCAAUUCGAUUCAAAAAUAAAGUUCAUAACUAAUAAAAAUAAUGAUAUAAAUUAAUUUAAAUAUUAAAUUUUAAAUAUAAUAUAAUUUUAUUAUAUUAUUUUAAUAAUCCUUGCUAAUAUUUGUGCCAGCAGUAGCGGUAAUACAAAGAGGGUAAGCAUUAAUCAUAAC
rnacentral:rRNA from 1 species